rnacentral:misc_RNA from 1 species
AAAAAAUAUAUAUAUCUAUAUUUCAUUAAUAGAAAAAGAAAAUAUUGAAUUUAUUGCACGUAAAAAUGACUAAUUUUGGAAUCCUUUUCGACGCAGAAAAUAGAAAGAAUGAACGAUUCGGUGAAUUAUAUUCUUAUUGUUGGCUUUGAAAAAGAUACACAUUUUUGUUCAAUUUCGUACUUGCAUAAAAUAGACGCAACUUCAUUUGAAUGUAUCUAAGAACUUGAUAUUUUGUUAUUGUCUAAAUAGUAUUAAAGCUAGCUAAGAAAUUAAGACGCCAAUAUGUACAUGACUAAGUAUAUACAUUUAAAUUAUUUUCAAAAAACAUUGAAACAAAAAAUAAUUUUUACUGAAACAAUAAUACAUUUAGCACCCAAACAUCAACAAGGGAAUAAACUCAUAAAUAAAAGGUCACAUCAACCCAGUAUCCUCAACCAUACUUCCAUUAUAACAAGGCCCUAGCUGUCUAUAUAAAUCUAUAGCAGUGCAAGUUCAUCGUUCGUCCUCGGACAUUGAGGCGGAACUUCUUUGCUAUGGAACCCUAAAAGGCACCACCAGAUCCUCGUGGUGUUCCACUCGCAGUUCUGAUAUUGCCGCUGCAGCUUUUUUUACUGCAUUCGUUAUC